GGGCCUAGGGUGGUUUGGGAUGAGGAGGGCCGGGAAGUUCACCAUCCUCGAGAUAAAAUCGGCAAAAUAUAGAGACAUUUAAUGGGAAGGAGAGAAACGAGGUGGAGUGGCAGGCAGGCAGCGGGGAAAAAUUGUGAAACACAUUGAAAUGGAGCAAAUGGUUCCGGGGUGUCUUCAGUGAAAAAGCAACCAUAGUCUGGCACACCUUUCCGGGUAUUCUGCUGCUAUGGGAGCUCCCCACCUUUGUGGUGGUCUAUACAACUCUGUGGUCUGCUGCCCUGGACUUCAUAUUGAACCUUAUCCCUCCUGGGAAAAAGCCAUUUUGCAUCGUUUUGAUGGAGUCCUCGAGGCAACACAAUCCUACAUACAUGGCUGGAUUUCAUAAAUUACAACCAUCUUUACAGAUAUAAUUUAGCUGCUUGCCUAAAGCCUGUGU